UAAUACCGCGUUUAGUGAAAAGAAAAUCGAGAAACCGACUUCGUAUUAUGUCAAUCAAUCAAACUGCGAUUCAAUUUCAAUCACACUAAAAAUGCAAUCUAAAAAGCCCGAAAAAUAAUCAAAAUAAACGAAUGAAAAGAGGAAAACGCGACUCCGCCUUGCCACGCCCUCGUCUUUUGGAAUUUCCAGUCCGGGUUCCAGUUUUCCAAUAUUCCAGAUACAGACCUCCCAGCUUCCAGCGAACCAACAAAAAAAGAAAAGAAAACAGCUGCAAUGCUCCAAUCCCAAACGCUGAGAUAAAAACCAAACGCAGUCGCCCAAUGCAUAUAAAUGAGCGCAGGAGCCCGGGAAACACGUAGCCAGCAAGGAAAGGAGAGCCAAAAAGGAUACCUCAUCCCUUGAAGAGCGGCGGUGGUGGCUCUAAUUAAGACAGGCCUGGUCUGGUUUGGUCUGGUCUGGGCCAAAAUUAAUGGAACCCACGAGCGGCGGAGCGUUUUCGGUGUUCACACAAAUUAAAUUCCAUGAAGUUUAUUUGCUGUAAAUGAGGCAGUGGCAGAAGGAGUGGAAGUGCUGGCCCUAAUUCAAUUUCCUCUCGUCCUUAACCCUUCUUUUCUGUGCCCCGUUAGUACGUGUUGCCAUGUUGCCAUGUUACCAUUUACCACUUAGAAGCGAAGGAAUAGGCCUACUCCUAAACAUUUAUACAAAAACACACACACACAGAUGCUAAAUCAGAUUCGUUCGAUUUAUAUUCGUUAGAUUUUCCAUGUAAAUAGUCAUUAUAAUUAUUAUUGUGGUCUACGUUGAUCUCUAGCCUCGGGCAGAGUCAGCGAUAAACCUUGAAAAGAAAAGGAAACACAAAAAUUGUAAACAUAAAUCUAAUAUUUAUUACGAAACUUCAAAUUUGUGCAUCUCGCAAAUGCUAUGAUUACAAAAUUAAAAAACAAAACGAGAAUGAGACGAAGGAGGAGAUAGCAGAGGGCAAAUCUAUUAAUUAGUAAUUAUUAUAAUGUGAUGUUAUAUAUAUAAAUCAAUCGAUAAACAAGAAACCUAAAGCAAAUUAAAACGGAAGGAAAAAUGAAAUAUACAAAACUGUUAACCAACGUAACAAAUUUCACUAAGUAGAUUUUUCGAAUUAAAUUUAAAUUAUAAUAAUUAAAAGUAUAGCAAACUUAAAAACAAAAUAACUUUGCUGUAUACACGAGAUAAAACUGCGUUUUUCUACUUAAAAACCAAAAGGAAUAUGUAAAAUGAUUUUUCAGAUUUAGAUUACCCCAUAUACCCUUAAUUAAUAAUUAUACAUAUAUAAAUUACAAAUUCUAUGUAAAUGUUGUGCGUAUAUAAAAGCAAAGGAAAACAAAACAAAGUAGACACCCACACUUCUAUAUCUUUCAGUUAUUUAUUAUGUGUGUGCUAUAUCCUCUUCUAUAUGUAUACAUUACAAAAAACAAAAACAAAAACAAAAACAAAAAAGAGCGCUUGGCUUCGUCUAGCAAACAUUUUGGGCCUUAAAGCAACCUACUCAAGCCGGGGCCUUGGUGUUCUUCUUAUUACCCAGCAUUCUUCAGAUCAAUAUAUAUGUAUGUAUCUAUAUACCCCCGGGGAGGGGGGCAACCCACACACUACUACUAAUGGUUAUUCUAUAUCUAAACGUGAAUGUGUUCGUUUCUAAACUUGUAAAAAAGCACGCCUCCCUCUCCGCUCAGACACGAAAUGUUUGUAAAAUAUUGACAGAGGAGGCGAAAACGAAAUUAACUUACAAAAUAUUUAUAAUAUUUCCGGGAGUAAAGGAAGAAAACAUUUUAGUUUUUCUACUUGAAUCGCAUUUCUUCCACUUUUCAAACAAAAAACCAAAUCCAAUUUAAAUGACAAAAUUGAUACGAUGAAUUGAAUUUUGAGUCCUUUCAAUCCUCGAGCUCAAAACGAAACCCUAAUAAACAAAUUAAUAAUAAUGAAGUUUCUAGGUUCUAUUAUUUAGUUGUCUUGUUAUUUAUAUGUUUAGCUUUAGUUUUUGUCUAAUUUAUUUCUAAGUUUUGGCUCCGCAAUAAAUACAGACAAUUAUAUAUAUUUUUUCUAUAAUUUGUUUCAUUUUUAUUAUUUUCGAUUCGUGAAAAAGAAUGAUGAAAAACCAAAAAAAAAAAAAAAAAGAAAUGAAAACUAAAAAAUUGAUAACAAAUGAAUUGCUAAAUUUAAGCGCAAAAGUUCAAUUAAUAAAAAUUAGAAUUUUAAUAUUAACAUAAUUUGGACUAUUUAUAUAUACAUACGCAUAUAUAUACAACUCUAUAUAUGAAUAAUUAGUAACAAAUCAAAUCAAUUUCCAUAACAACCGCCAGAAAAAAAGCAAAAAAAAUAUAUAUAUAUUCUUAGUGACGAGUGCAAGAACAAACACUCGUGCAAUUGUACUUUAAAAUUGAAUAAAAUUCAAAAAAGAAAACGAAAACGAAAAAAAAACCAAUGAACAGUGAAGAAUGGAAAGGAACAAGUGGAAUGGAAUGCAACUCUGCUUUGCGCAGCGUUGCCAAUGUCAACUUGCAGGCAGCCUUUAGAAGAGUACAGAGCAACCGUCGAAACACAAGCAGACUCCUCACUCACACACAAGGCUUGAGAUCUCAAUAGAGCGAAAAAGGGAUAAAUAGAUAGCGAGUUGAUAUGAUCAUGAUUAACGGUGGAUGUGUCGUGCAUGUUGGGAGAGCAGCAAUCGCAACAAUAAUUCCAGGCAUAUCGAAGCAUUUUUACUCAGCACUCAGACGACAGCAAUCAGCGAAAUCGGCAACCAAAACUGAUGGCAAUAACAAGCAAAAGGUAACCAAUUCGGGAUCAGAGAGCGAAGACAAACAGAGAGCGAUACAAACAAACAAACAAACACACACAGACACAGAAACAGAACACACAAUCACAAUAAAGGACGAACGCGACAAGUAAAAAAGAAAACUUAACGGGAUUCACAUAUGUAUAUUCAAGAAGCAAUAAUGAAAGUAUAUUUCCAAGUAUGAUAAAAAGAAAAACAACAACCAAGAAAGUCAAGAACUAACAUGAAUAAAUAUUUAUACAUAUAUUUUAAUUAUAGUUACAAAUUAGCAUAUAUAUAUAAAAAUUAUACAUACAUACAAAAAUAUAUACCGAAGAUAGUCCAAAUAAUUUAGCAAGAUGAAAUGAAAACCGAAAAGCGAAAAACAAAGUAAACUUUAAUAUUUACAAAAUAUUAAAAUAUCAAUGUGCAAUUUAACAAGCGUUUAAAACACCACACACUGAAACACACACAGCCACACAAAAUUAAUGCUACACCUAUAUAUACAAACAUAUACAUAUGUAAACCGAUUAUAAAACAUUAUAUAUGCGUAUAUAAAAAGUCGAUACGAAAUAACGAUCCAUUUAAAAAUGAUAAAAGGCAAGAGACAAGGCGAGCGACAAACUUUAGUGGCGAGGAAAAAAGAAAAUACAAUUUAGUUUUGUGUGCGCACAGGAACACCACAGUAAACCCUACUUAAAAAGGAAAUCAAAAUUCAACUAACAAACAACCACACGAAACGAAGCCGUGCUAAAUGCUACAAGAAGCGGUUCAAGUCAAGUUUUUGAGCAAAUACUCAUAAUUGUUAAAAAUGUUUAAAUAAUAUAAUAACAAAAACAAAACACAAAAAAAAUAAUUAAAACCACAAAAUAAAAAUCCGUAACAAAAAAUAAAUUGCAUAUUAUCAUAUAUUUUCUCUCUCCUUAGACAAUUUAGUUAAUUAUGAAAAGUAAUGAAAAACAAACAUUAUACUUAAGUGUUAGUCUUAUAUAUAAAUAAAUAUAUGAUUAAUUAAUAAAAACGAUAAAAGCAGAAAAAGAAAAUCAAGGAACAGCAGCCGACGAAUGAGAUGUGAAAGAGCACAGUAACAGCAAAACAAAACAAAACCAAAAAAAAAAAACAAAGUGAAAAGAAAAUAAAAUAAAAAACCAGCAAAGAAACAAAAUCGAAAUGAGAAAAACAAAACUUAAAUUAAGAAAUUAGAUUUGCCUUUGUGUUAAAUAUCAAGUGUGUUUCUUAUUACCAUUAUUAUUAUAAUUUUUUCAUUUCCAAUUGGUCAGACGUGUGAAAUGAUUUCCUUACAUAUUGAUUGAGAAAUAAAAAUUAUUAAACAAAAAAGCAA